CCUACGGGAGGCUGCAGUGGGGAAUAUUGGACAAUGGGGGGAACCCUGAUCCAGCCAUGCCGCGUGUGUGAAGAAGGCCCUCGGGUUGUAAAGCACUUUCAGUGAGGAAGAACGCCUGGUGGUUAAUACCCAUCAGGAAAGACAUCACUCACAGAAGAAGCACCGGCUAACUCCGUGCCAGCAGCCGCGGUAAUACGGAGGGUGCGAGCGUUAAUCGGAAUUACUGGGCGUAAAGCGCGCGUAGGUGGCUUGAUAAGCCGGUUGUGAAAGCCCCGGGCUCAACCUGGGAACGGCAUCCGGAACUGUCAAGCUAGAGUGCAGGAGAGGAAGGUAGAAUUCCCGGUGUAGCGGUGAAAUGCGUAGAGAUCGGGAGGAAUACCAGUGGCGAAGGCGGCCUUCGGGACUGACACUGACACUGAGGUGCGAAAGCGUGGGUAGCAAACAGGAUUAGAUACCCUGGUAGUC
rnacentral:rRNA from 1 species